AUGUGGAGCUUGCUCCCUGAUGUUAGCGGCGGACGGGUGAGUAACACGUGGGUAACCUGCCUGUAAGACUGGGAUAACUCCGGGAAACCGGGGCUAAUACCGGAUGGUUGUUUGAACCGCAUGGUUCAAACAUAAAAGGUGGCUUCGGCUACCACUUACAGAUGGACCCGCGGCGCAUUAGCUAGUUGGUGAGGUAACGGCUCACCAAGGCAACGAUGCGUAGCCGACCUGAGAGGGUGAUCGGCCACACUGGGACUGAGACACGGCCCAGACUCCUACGGGAGGCAGCAGUAGGGAAUCUUCCGCAAUGGACGAAAGUCUGACGGAGCAACGCCGCGUGAGUGAUGAAGGUUUUCGGAUCGUAAAGCUCUGUUGUUAGGGAAGAACAAGUACCGUUCGAAUAGGGCGGUACCUUGACGGUACCUAACCAGAAAGCCACGGCUAACUACGUGCCAGCAGCCGCGGUAAUACGUAGGUGGCAAGCGUUGUCCGGAAUUAUUGGGCGUAAAGGGCUCGCAGGCGGUUUCUUAAGUCUGAUGUGAAAGCCCCCGGCUCAACCGGGGAGGGUCAUUGGAAACUGGGGAACUUGAGUGCAGAAGAGGAGAGUGGAAUUCCACGUGUAGCGGUGAAAUGCGUAGAGAUGUGGAGGAACACCAGUGGCGAAGGCGACUCUCUGGUCUGUAACUGACGCUGAGGAGCGAAAGCGUGGGGAGCGAACAGGAUUAGAUACCCUGGUAGUCCACGCCGUAAACGAUGAGUGCUAAGUGUUAGGGGGUUUCCGCCCCUUAGUGCUGCAGCUAACGCAUUAAGCACUCCGCCUGGGGAGUACGGUCGCAAGACUGAAACUCAAAGGAAUUGACGGGGGCCCGCACAAGCGGUGGAGCAUGUGGUUUAUUUCGAAGCAACGCGAAGAACCUUACCAGGUCUUGACAUCCUCUGACAAUCCUAGAGAUAGGACGUCCCCUUCGGGG
rnacentral:rRNA from 1 species